UAAGUAAUCUGAAAAAUUCAAAUUGUUUCAGUCAUCUGUCUGCUGCUCCUUUCACUUUUUACAAAAAAAAAAAGAAGCUCUUGCAAUGACUGGUAUGCUAGUCAGUAUUCCCUUCCUGGGUUUCUUAACACCCCCAUAAAGAGAACAGAGUAAAUAGAAUACUCCUACUGAGUUUUUAAUGAUUUAUUAAUUGACUUUGGGUAGUACAGACAGAGGUAAACUGAAGUACUACAUAAUUAUCCUUAGAUUUUAACUGGUAAACUUAGUAACAUUAUAGUCUGUGCAAACAUGUCUCUGUAAAUAUGCAAAGAAUGAUGUAGAACUUUGCUAUAAGCAUUGGCUGGGUUAGCAGACUUAGAGGUGUAAGUAAGCAAUCAUUCAAAAUGGUAUUUCGAGUAUGUUCUUCUGGCAAAGAAGCAAGAUGCCGGGAAUCUAGCCCAUAUCAGAAUGACAUAAACAUGAUGUAAAAAUGCACACACACACACAAUUCAUUAUGAUCUUGUGCUAGCAGCAGUGGACACAUUUUUGGUGAACUUGGUAUUAUGAAUAUGGAAAACUAUUAGGUAGUAAAGAAGAAGCUUUUCUGUAAAAAUAUUAGGGAAGGAAUAGUUUAAUCUCAUAAAUCUCUUCACAGACACUGUACACAGAGCUCUCACAACCUUGGAGGACUUCUGUAUCAAUUCUUGGCAAUCUGUGCUAUUCUGUAAUGUGGGAGCAGGAAAAAGAAGCUCAGUUUUCCAAUGGAUUUGAAAAGCAAAUGACUAUCUUAUGUUUCUCCCAAGUUGUGAGCUGUCCUGAUACUUGACAUACUUAGGCAGGGCUGGUCUUAAGUAGCCUAGAGCUCCAAGCAAAGCCUUGGCCCUACAUUUUUGCCCCUCUAAAUCAGUUUUGCUUUCUUGAGCCUCUCAAGGCUCAUACUGGUUUCUAGUAUAUAUUCCCUCCUCUCUCCUGCUCUCCUACAGAUUAUCUCACUGUCUCAGUCCAGGACUCCCUCCAAGGUUCUCACCUCAAAUGUUAGGUUCAGGCACUGCUGAUGGAGCAGCUCCUAGCUACGCUCUCUGGCAGUAGUUGGUUAGGAGAUGAUUUUAUGUGUUAAUAUCUCUGUGCUCCAAAGACUGUCACCAGCUGAAUACGAGUGCACAUUUUGUGUAGUCCCUGUGGACCAAUAAGCUAGUGUGCAGGAGCCUGAAAAGAAUCUUCAAAAACAGGAGGCAUGAAAUCGUUUGGUUGGACUGCUUUUAACCUUGAUUUAAACUGCUCAGGUGUGGGAUUGUGAUUUAGCAAUAUAAGCUGCUUUUAAAUUAUAGUUAAAGGUUUUAAAACAGAUUCAGGGUUCACUGAGCCCUCCCUCUCACUUGAUUAUUCAAUGAUUUAUACAUAUAUAAUGACUUUAACUGACGGAGGGGGUAAUUUAUGUCAUGACAUGCAUGAUAUAUAGAUCUAAAUAGACUAGCGAGAGGGAAAAAGGAGCCAUCUGUUCCCUAGAAAACUGUCCAUUGUGAGAAGGAUGCAAGAACUGUGCUUGAAAAAUGUGUUUGGAAAGAGCAGGAAUAAAUUUAUCUAAAUUUCUUGUGCUGUGUGGAUG
rnacentral:lncRNA from 1 species